ACCGCCAUAAGGGCGCCAUCGGUCACGGAGAAUUCGUUCGGCUGGAGCGCAUGAUCGCGGA
rnacentral:sRNA from 1 species